rnacentral:tmRNA from 1 species
GGGGGCGACCUGGUUUCGACGUGGUCGGUUCUCCGGCAGAGCUGCAAGCCGAGGUCCCCGGUCGGCCUCGUAAAACAACCGGGACACAACGCAAGUGCGAAGAACACACCCGCACUCGCUCAAGCUGCCUAAUCCGUAGCUGAGCGCGUCGCUCCGGACUCGGCCCGUGGUUCGGGUAGCGGCGUCAGAAAACGGGCUCGGCGCCGAGGGAGAGCCAAUCGCCCGAGGCGCGACA